rnacentral:pre_miRNA from 1 species
GCUUGCCUGUGUGGAUGGUGUUAAGCACCAAGGUCAGGUCGCUUUGCCUGUGUGGAUGGUGUUCAGCACCAAGGACACGAGAAUUUGCCU